rnacentral:rRNA from 1 species
UUUUUGGAGAGUUUGAUCCUGGCUCAGGACGAACGCUGGCGGCGUGCCUAAUACAUGCAAGUCGAGCGAACUUGAUGGGAGCUUGCUCCCUGAUAGUUAGCGGCGGACGGGUGAGUAACACGUGGGUAACCUGCCUGUAAGACUGGGAUAACUCCGGGAAACCGGGGCUAAUACCGGAUAACUUUUUUCUUCGCAUGAAGGAGAAUUGAAAGAUGGCUCCGGCUAUCACUUACAGAUGGACCCGCGGCGCAUUAGCUAGUUGGUGAGGUAACGGCUC